CUCUCUGUUGUCUAAAAAUUUAUAGAAAAAUUUGGCUUGGUGAAAUGGCGUCUUCACAUGGAACACAUACGCCCAAAGACACUCAAAUCAUUGUGUCGAUUAUGAAAGAUUUAGGUAUCGUUGAAUACGAAUCGCAAGUUUUAAACCAUCUCUUGUAGUUUAACUACAGGUACACAACGCUACUGUUGGACGACGCUAAGACAUUUUCAAACUUUGCGAAAAA